rnacentral:rRNA from 1 species
CUCCGGGAGGGGAGUAGAGUGGCGCACGGGUGAGUAACACGUAGGUAAUUUGCCUUCGGGUGGGGAAUAACUCACGGAAACUUGAGCUAAUACCGCAUAAUGCAGCGGCUCGACAUCGAGACAGUUGUUAAAGCGGGGGAUCGCAAGACCUCGCGCCUGAAGAGAAGCCUGCGGCAGAUUAGCUAGUUGGUAGGGUAAUGGCCUACCAAGGCGACGAUCUGUAACCGGCCUGAGAGGGCGGACGGUCACACUGACACUGACAUACGGGUCAGACUCCUACGGGAGGCAGCAGUCGGGAAUUUUGGGCAAUGGGCGAAAGCCUGACCCAGCAACGCCGCGUGAAGGAUGAAAUCCCUCGGGAUGUAAACUUCGCAAGAAUGGGAAGAAUAAGUGGGGGACAAUACCCCCCAUGAUGACGGUACCAUUUGUAAGCUCCGGCUAACUCCGUGCCAGCAGCCGCGGUAAUACGGGGGGAGCAAGCGUUGUUCGGAUUUACUGGGCGUAAAGGGCGCGUAGGCGGUCGUGACAAGUCACUUGUGAAAUCUCCGGGCUUAACUCGAAACGGUCAAGUGAUACUGUCUGACUAGAGUACAGAAGGGGCAACUGGAAUUCUCGGUGUAGCGGUGAAAUGCGUAGAUAUCGAGAGGAACACCUGCGGCGAAGGCGGGUUGCUGGGCUGAUACUGACGCUGAGGCGCGAA